GGAAGGGGUGUAUUUAUUAGAUAAAAAACCAAUGCCUUCGGGCUUCUUGGUGAUUCAUGAUAACUUUACGAAUCGCAUGGCCUUGCGCCGGCGAUGGUUCAUUCAAAUUUCUGCCCUAUCAACUUUCGAUGGUAGGAUAGUGGCCUACCAUGGUUUCAACGGGUAACGGGGAAUUAGGGUUCGAUUCCGGAGAGGGAGCCUGAGAAACGGCUACCGCAUCCAAGGAAGGCAGCAGGCGCGCAAAUUACCCAAUCCCGACACGGGGAGGUAGUGACAAUAAAUACUGAUACAGGGCCCUUUUGGGUCUUGUAAUUGGAAUGAGUACAAUUUAAACCCUUUAACGAGGAACAAUUGGAGGGCAAGUCUGGUGCCAGCAGCCGCGGUAAUUCCAGCUCCAAUAGCGUAUAUUAAAGUUGUUGCAGUUAAAAAGCUCGUAGUUGAACUUUGGGUCUGGGUGACCGGUCUGCGUCUACCGCAUGCACUGGAAACCCGGAUCUUUCCUUCUGGAGAACCNGCAUGCCCUUUACUGGGUGUGCCGGGGAACCAGGACUUUUAC
rnacentral:rRNA from 1 species